rnacentral:lncRNA from 1 species
ACAGCCUCCAAUACAUGUUAUUGUAUUUUACUGAAGAAUUAAUUGGUUUGUUGUUCAUUGUUGAUGAGGGUACCAUUUUCUGUCAGGAGUCUGGCCCUCUGUCCACUGAUGUCGUUGAUCUGGCGAACAUUCUCAUCAUUCUUAGUCUUGAUCUCGCUCAGCUGGUCCUCAAGAGUACGGCACAUCUUCUCCAGAUUGCCCUGUUAGUGAWACAUGUUCCAUCAUUACUUUAUAUAUGAGACUCCUGUCAACUUCAGUUCACUUGAAUGGUAAUGUAGUUGACCCUACUCAACACUGCUUGAUCAAAACAUCACUACUCACCUUAGCCUUGGCGARGGCCUCCAUGUUGCUGGAGAGGUCAUCAAUCUCCAUCUUGUACUCYCUCUUCUCCUUCUCCAGCUUCUGRUUGACYCGCUGRAGGUUGUCGAUCUGCUCCCCGAGCUCAGCCACACUGUCGGCCUGUUUCUUGCGCAGAGCGGCGGCUGUGGACUCAUGCUGCAGGGUGGACUCUUCAAGAUCACGACGCAGCUUCUGGAACUCUGCCUCACGCUUCUUGUUCAUCUCAAUCUGAGCAGCAGUGGCGCCUCCAGCCUCCUCCAGCCUCUCGCUGAUCUCCUCAAGUUCCCUGGAGAGAUCGGCCCUCUGCUUCUCAACCUUAGCCCUGGCAGCACGCUCAGCCUCAAUUUCCUUGAUCUUCUUCUGCAGCUGAGCUCCCAGAGACUGUUCAUCCUCUAUUUUACUGAGGAGCUGGGAUGUCUCAAACUCCUUCCUAYGAAACACAAACACGURGAUUGCAAAGUUGGUUUGGGUUCAAUAGAGUUAGAGUAUCAUAAGUAUCGCAUGUAAAUGCUAAUUCAUAAUGACAAGAAUGAGUCAAGAACAAGCAUUAUUGUCAAUCCGGCAGGUAUUGUUUGUUUACUUCUUGAUUUUCUCAUCAGACUGCUGCUUGUCAUUCUCCAGGUCCAUUAUGGACUCCUGGGCCAGUUUCAGAUCUCCCUCCAGCUUUCUCUUGGCUCUCUCAAGGUCCAUACGGAGCUUCUUCUCUUGCUCCAGAGAACCCUCAAGCUACAAGAUAAAAACACACAUGUAUUGUUCAAAUCGAAACAACAGAAGAUAAUAACAUCUUAAUAAAUACUAUCGUGGCCAAAAUGUCAAACUCCACUCACGUCGUCCACUUGCUGUUCCAGCUUGGUCUUGGCCUUGGUCAGAGUGUUGACUUUGUCCUCCUCUGCCUGCAGGUCGUCCAGUGUCUGCUGGUGGGCCUCUUGGAGGGCUUUCUUCUCCUUGGUCAGCUUGGCAACACUCUCAUCCAUAGACGCCAUCUCCUCUGUCAGGUUUUUAACCUGAAAACGGCCACCACAUAAUUAGCCUUUUGUUGUUUCACAUAAAUGGGAGAUUUAGUUUCAUACGU